GAUGAACGCUAGCGGCAGGCCUAAUACAUGCAAGUCGAACGGUGUCUUCGGACAUAGUGGCGCACGGGUGCGUAACACGUAUGCAACCUACCUUACAUUGGGGGAUAGCCUUUCGAAAGGGAGAUUGAUACCGCAUAAGACAGUAGCUGGGCAUCCAGCAGCUGUUAAAGAUUUAUCGAUGUAAGUUGGGCAUGCGUCCAAUUAGCUAGUUGGUGAGGUAACGGCUCACCAAGGCAAUGAUUGGUAGGGGAACUGAGAGGUCAAUCCCCCACACUGGCACUGAGAUACGGGCCAGACUCCUACGGGAGGCAGCAGCAGGGAAUAUUGGGCAAUGGACGCAAGUCUGACCCAGCCAUGUCGCGUGCAGGAUGAAGGCGUUAUGCGUUGUAAACUGCUUUUAUACAGGAAGAAACGACUCUUGCGAGAGGCAUUGACGGUACUGUAUGAAUAAGCACCGGCUAACUCCGUGCCAGCCGCCGCAGUAAUAC
rnacentral:rRNA from 1 species